rnacentral:misc_RNA from 1 species
UCCGGUUUGUCACCGGCAGUCAGAUUAGAGUGCCCAACUAAAUGCUGGCAACUAAUCUCAAGGGUUGCGCUCGUUGCGGGACUUAACCCAACAUCUCACGACACGAGCUGACGACAACCAUGCACCACCUGUCACCGCUGUCCCCGAAGGGAAAGCUAUGUCUCCAUAGCGGCCAGCGGGAUGUCAAGACCUGGUAAGGUUCUUCGCGUUGCUUCGAAUUAAACCACAUGCUCCACCGCUUGUGCGGGCCCCCGUCAAUUCUUUUGAGUUUCAGCCUUGCGGCCGUACUCCCCAGGCGGAGUGCUUAAUGCGUUAACUGCAGCACUAAGGGGCGGAAACCCCCUAACACCUAGCACUCAUCGUUUACGGCGUGGACUAC